ACGGCAUUCUGUCAGCACACGUUUUCAUUAAUCAAGAACGAAAGUUAGGGGAUCGAAGAUGAUCAGAUACCGUCGUACUCUUACCCAUAAACUAUGCCGACACAGACAUCGGGCGUUGUUCUUUUUAUGACUCGCUCGGCACCUUACGAGAAAUCAAAGUUUUUGGGUUCUGGGGGGAGUAUGGUCGCAAGGCUGAAACUUAAAGGAAUUGACGGAAGGGCACCACCAGNAGUGGAGCCUGCGGCUUAAUUUGACUCAACACGGGAAAUCUCACCAGGUCCAGACACAANAAGGAUUGACAGAUUGAGAGCUCUUUCUUGAUUUUGUGGGUGGUGGUGCAUGGCCGUUCUUAGUUGGUGGAGUGAUUUGUCUGCUUAAUUGCGAUAACGAACGAGACCUUAACCUACUAAAUAGUGCUGUUAGCUUCGGCUGAACUGGCACUUCUUAGAGGGACUAUCGAUUUCAAGUCGAUGGAAGUUUGAGGCCAAUAACAGGUCUGUGAUGCCCUUAGACGUUCUGGGCCGCACGCGCGCUAUACUGACGGAGCCAGCAAGUACUAUCCUUGGACCGAAAAGUCCGGNGUAAUCCUCGUGAAACUCCCGUCGUGCUGGGGAAUAGAGCAUUGAAAUUAUUGCUCUUCAACGAGGAAUUCCUAG
rnacentral:rRNA from 1 species